AACGAACGCUGGCGGCAGGCCUAACACAUGCAAGUCGAGCGCGUAGCAAUACGAGCGGCAGACGGGUGCGUAACGCGUGGGAAUAUGCCCUUUGGUUCGGAAUAACUCAGGGAAACUUGUGCUAAUACCGGAUAAGCCCUACGGGGGGAAAGAUUUAUCGCCAAAGGAGUAGCCCGCGUCUGAUUAGCUAGUAGGUGAGGUAACGGCUCACCUAGGCGACGAUCAGUAGCUGGUCUGAGAGGAUGAUCAGCCACACUGGGACUGAGACACGGCCCAGACUCCUACGGGAGGCAGCAGUGGGGAAUAUUGGACAAUGGGCGCAAGCCUGAUCCAGCCAUGCCGCGUGAGUGAUGAAGGCCUCGGGUUGUAAGCUCUUCGCGAGGAC
rnacentral:rRNA from 1 species